AAACCGAAGAAAUAUUUUUUUUUUUUUCCUCGAUUUGGAUCGGCAGCUCUAAGAUUACUGUGGCGCGCCCUGGUCAGGGAGAUACGCGCUGUCAGCUCUCAGGACAGCACUUAUCUAAUGCCAAAGAAAUGGAUUUCGGAUCUGGGAACCAAUCUCACGCAAGAGGAAUUAUUUUCUUUUGUUUUUGGAUAACCAAGGACUGUGGCUUCUGUAGGUACAACAUUUAGCACAUGGAACAUUUUGUUUUGUCAAAAUGUUAUAGGCUGCAAAUGGAGAUGCCUUAGUGUCCGAAUGACUUGGAAUAGAGGAUUCAAGAACAACGGGAUGUCUGAUCCUGCACUCUUUCUCGGAAAAGGAUUGCUGUCCUUUGAUAUCCAUAUACAUGCAUUUCUAUAAAGACACAGAAGCUGGCAAGACCUGAAUAAUGAUUGUACCUUAUUAAUAAUGGACGCCAAAGUGAAUUCUAUUAUCCAGUUUCCCGGGAUUUUACUUAAAGGCUUUUGGCUUGCUUAUUUGGAAAAUCAAAACUGACCGAUAUAAAAAUGGAUUCAAAUCGGUUGUAGAUAGUUGAUUAAAAUGAGUUUGUUACUAGUUUCUUCUAUAUACUCUGUUAACCAUAUUAAACACUUUAAUCUUUUUUUGUUUUGUUUUGUAAUGUAAUAGACAGGGUGGCAUCCCUGUGUCGCUGCGUCAGUACAAAAUAUUGACAUAAUUCUGCAUAUCGACAAAAAUCACAAUAUUGACAAAAUAGGGAAGUUAAGAUUGCGCAUUAUUUAUUUAUCUAUCUAUCUAUCUAUCUAUUUAUUUAUUUAUUUAUUUAUUUAUUUAUUUAUUUAUUUAUUUAUUUAUUUUAGUAAGUCAAGGCUAAAGGACGUUUAGUUCAACAUCAAACACCUACGAUUUGUAGUAUAUUGAUGUGCAACUGUUGUAAAUUCAUGUGCAGCUAUGCGACAAUGGAAGGAACUGUUUUUCAUUUAUACUAUGUUCAUAUCUGUUUCAAUGGGCUGCAGCUGAAAAACAUAAACCAAUAGGCAUUACCAGCAUAAAAAAGCUGCGUUAUGUAGGUCAAUCUGCUAACAUAAUGUCAUUUCACGAGGGUAAAACCCUCGAUUAACAACCGAUAAUGUAAACCGACUUGAACACAAAGGACCACCAAGGUAUAAUGCCUUCUUGAGGGAAGGUAAUGGAUUUACAAUGGCUGAGUGGUUCAACCUUCUAAUAUCAUUUUACUGAAUUAUAUAUAGCAAAUAAUUAAUACAUCCUAAAUGAUAUUAGAUACAAAAACUGCAAUUGAUUUAUUUUAAAUAUGGUAUUAUUUUUCAAUACAAGCAAAUGUGGGCUACAGACACAAUGACUAUUUCUGACAAUUCACAUUUAAUUAAAUAGAGCAAUAUUCACACACACACAUACACACAUACACACACACACACACACACACACACACGCACACACACACACACUCACACACACACACACAAACACACACACAAACACACACACAUUUAUGUCUGUAUGCAUACAUACCAAAAUACACGAUAUUACACGAUAUUACACGAUAUUACACUAUAACAACGGAAUAGAAUUAUGGCUAAAAAUAAAGAAUAUGAAAUAUACAUGCUUAAGAACAUUUCGUGUACUUUCUCGUAAUCAUUUCAAACCGUUUUAUAACAGUGAUAGGUGUCAUUUGGUUCACCGUUUCAUCCAAUACGAAUAACCUGAACAAAAGCGCAAAAGCUGUAAAUCUUUAACAAAUUGAACACUGUUAGCUUUAGUCAUGCAGUUCCACACAUAUCAUUAGCCCGUAUAAUUCUUUCUUCUGGCUAUGUUGGUAGCAUUUGGUGCUGACUUUAAGGUAUUUCAAUUGUUUUUGUAAUAUUGUGCUCCCUGUAUUGUAAUGUCCUAUUCGACAGUCUUAGUUUUAGUUUUGUUUAUUGUGUUUAAGAGGUAUCUACUUUCUUAGUGUAUAAGAUAUGAACCCUUCUAGACUAAGAACGCGGUUUCUUUUUUAAGCUGUCGUGCAAGUUAAUUUUACCAGUAAAAUGGCCGGAUGGUUGUUUUGUUUUUCUUCACUUAUGAUUUCUUCGUGAUUGUUUUUAAUGAUAAAAAACGCAAUUGAUCCCUGCACGUUUUAAUGCAUUGAACAUGGACAGCCUUUCUCUUUCUCUCUGUUAGAUGUAAACAUUCUCUGGGUUAUUGAAAUGUCAAUUUAGUAAUGCUUAUGUAAUAUACUAAACAUGAUAUGUUUCAAAUAUGUUUUUCUUUACUCGUUUUCGUUUCAUUUUUCAUUUUCAAACCACAUUGUUUACACGAUGUUUAAAUUGUAAAACCCCAUCUUAGUAUCUUCUUAAAAUGUUGAACAUUUUGCAAAAGUUUAGCUUAUUGAUUGUUUUGAUUCUUUGAUGAAUUAAAUAAAAGCCUCGCUGAGUAUUUAUAGAA